AUAGCUCAGUGGCAGAGCAUCUGCUUAACAUGCACAAGGUCCUGAGUUCAAUCCCCAGU
rnacentral:tRNA from 1 species